rnacentral:rRNA from 1 species
AUUGAACGCUGGCGGAAUGCUUUACACAUGCAAGUCGAACGGCAGCACGGACUUCGGUCUGGUGGCGAGUGGCGAACGGGUGAGUAAUAUAUCGGAACGUGUCCAGUCGUGGGGGAUAACGUAGCGAAAAUUACGCUAAUACCGCAUACGAUCUAUGGAUGAAAGCGGGGGAUCGCAAGACCUCGCGCGAUUGGAGCGGCCGAUAUCAGAUUAGGUAGUUGGUGAGGUAAAGGCUCACCAAGCCAACGACCUGUAGCUGGACUGAGAGGACGACCAGCCACACUGGAACUGAGACACGGUCCAGACUCCUACGGAAGGCAGCAGUGGGGAAUUUUGGACAAUGGACGCAAGUCUGAUCCAGCCAUUCCGCGUGCAGGACGAAGGCCUUCGGGUUGUAAACUGCUUUUGUACGGAACGAAAAGGUCUCUAUUAAUACUAGGGGCUCAUGACGGUACCGUAAGAAUAAGCACCGGCUAACUACGUGCCAGCAGCCGCCGUAA